rnacentral:rRNA from 1 species
GAUGAACGCUGGCGGCGUGCCUAAUACAUGCAAGUCGAGCGAACAGACGAGGAGCCUGCUCCUCUGACGUUAGCGGCGGACGGGUGAGUAACACGUGGAUAACCUACCUAUAAGACUGGGAUAACUUCGGGAAACCGGAGCUAAUACCGGAUAAUAUAUUGAACCGCAUGGUUCAAUAGUGAAAGACGGUUUUGCUGUCACUUAUAGAUGGAUCCGCGCCGCAUUAGCUAGUUGGUAAGGUAACGGCUUACCAAGGCAACGAUGCGUAGCCGACCUGAGAGGGUGAUCGGCCACACUGGAACUGAGACACGGUCCAGACUCCUGCGGGAGGCAGCAGUAGGGAAUCUUCCGCAAUGGGCGAAAGCCUGACGGAGCAACGCCGCGUGAGUGAUGAAGGUCUUCGGAUCGUAAAACUCUGUUAUUAGGGAAGAACAAAUGUGUAAGUAACUAUGCACGUCUUGACGGUACCUAAUCAGAAAGCCACGGCUAACUACGUG